UCGUAAAUAAACCUCUGAACUGCAGUGUAAUAAUCUUCUGCUUCUUCCCAACAGCACAAAUAAUUGGUCCAAGACGAACUGUUUUAAUCUGGAAGAUUAAGGG